CUAAAAAAAAUCUCUAACUCCGUUCCUCUCUCUCACUCUCGCGUGCGCUAAUUUAACUACAACCCAGAGAGGAACCCACGAGUCUGCGAUUGCCACUGAAGUGUUUUGAGGCAAUUUCUGCUAACCCUUUUGAUUCUCUGAUUCGAGGAAGAAGAAGAAGAAGAAAUGGCAUGUGCAUCACAGGCAAUGAUAUCAGCAUACACAUGCACAUUCACAUCCCCGA
rnacentral:misc_RNA from 1 species